rnacentral:rRNA from 1 species
CCCCUAGAUGUUCUGGGCCGCACGCGCGCUACACUGAACAGUUCAACAAGUCUUAACCUUGGCCGAUAGGUCUGGGUAAUCUUUGAACGCUGUUCGUGAUUGGGAUAGACCUUUGCAAUUAUGGGUCUUCAACGAGGAAUUCCUAGUAAACGCAAGUCAUCAGCUUGCAUUGAUUACGUCCCUGCCCUUUGUACACACCGCCCGUCGCACCUACCGAUUGAAUGGUCCGGUGAAAUCUCGGGACGGCGGCUCGGUCGCUUGCGUCCGACUGCUGAAACUUGAUUAAACCAUAUCAUUUAGGGGAAGGUGAAGUCGUAACA